rnacentral:misc_RNA from 1 species
GGACUACAAGGGUAUCUAAUCCUGUUUGCUCCCCACGCUUUCGCGCCUCAGCGUCAGAGUGGCCCCAGCCGGCCGCCUUCGCCACCGGUAUUCCUCCUGAUAUCUACGAAUUUCACCUCUACACCAGGAAUUCUGCCGGCCCCUGACCCUCUCUAGAUUAGCAGUUUCGAAAGACCCUCCGGGGUUGAGCCCCGGGCUUUCACCUCCGACUUACUAUUCCGCCUGCGCGCCCUUUACGCCCAGUAAUUCCGAACAACGCUCGCACCCUAUGUAUUACCGCGGCUGCUGGCACAUAGUUAGCCGGUGCUUAUUCUUGGGGUACCGUCAUCAUCUUCCCCCAUAAAAGAGCUUUACGACCCAAGGGCCUUCUUCACUCACGCGACAUUGCUGCAUCAGAGUU